rnacentral:lncRNA from 12 species
GGGGGGGGGGGGGGGGGGGGGGGGGGGGGGGGGGGGGGGGGGGGGGGGGGGCGGGCCGCUCGUGGCUGCGGGCUGCUCUGACCGGUCCCUCGGGCGUGUGGGGCCUGGUCAGCGUGGUGGAGAAGACAGUGUGCCGAAAGGGCGUGUGCGGUGGCACGGAGGGUGCGGUGGCAGGCGAGAGUGAACAGUCCUUCAGUCCUUCAGGCAGAACGAGCAGUAUCCACACUUCGGUUAUAAAUCUUAAGGAGAAGCUUGAAUAUGCAGGCCAAAUGAGCCCUCGCCAGCCAACUCAGGAAAUCCUUCCGUGCAAAAUGUCUUUUGUUGUCCUAGGGGAGUUAAAGCACUGAAUGUCCACAGCCUCUAUGAAACCAGCUUAGGAGGGACUAUAGUGAAAGUGACUGAGAGUUGCAAGAACAACUGGAGGAUCUCGGACACCGAUUUUGAAAUUUAGAAGGCUGCAUAAACCAGGCAUUUAAAUCUGCUGUGAAUCCUGACUUAUAUGAAAUUAUUCUCUCCAAGCUUAAGGAUCGAUGGAUUUGGGCAUUUGCAAUAGACAGGUUACCCUGAGGUUGUACUGAUUUUUGAAAAUAAAUAAAGCAAAUUCAAAGCAUGUAAUCCUUUUUCUGAAUCCAAACUAAAGGGGCCAUUUAGAUUUGCCUUAGCAUUGAAGUACUUAGACUAGCUAUCAGCUUUAAUUUGUUGUCAAUCAAAUAAGAUGUCCUGUCAGAACUUACAUAUAUUUAAUGUAUUUGGGUCUUCUGUCCUUACAUUUGUUACAUAAGGUACUUCCUUCUCAAAUCACUGUCAGAACUUACAUAUAUUGAAUGUAUUUGGGUCUUCUGUCCUUAUAUUUGUUACAUAAGGUACUUCCUUCUCAAAUCAAAUUACCAUUUGGUGUAGGUUUCUUACUUUUUAAUACACUUCUAUUAGCACAAUGAAUUAGAAACAAAUCCUAGAAGAUUAUUCUGUAACUAAAUAAAGCAUAUAUCAAAAAUCUAUAUGGGCUGGUUUCAGUUUAAAUAGAAAAAGAAUCUAAUCAGUAAAAAUAAUACAAGAAAUAAAUUUCAAGAGUCCAUUGCUAAGGUUUUUUUCAUGAACCAAAGCUAGAAAGAUGUUGG